GGUCAAUUUGUAUUGAAAAUAUCAAAUAAUUUUUAUUAAUAAAAAUUCAUAUACAAUUUAUAAGAUGAGCACAAUCGUCUAACGAUUGAUUUUGGGAUAUAUUUUCCAACAACUCCCACUUGGACUUAAAUCAAUCGGUACAGUAUCGUAUAUCCAUCUUCGAUUUGUGGUCAUCGAACAUCUUAAUUUUGAGAGCUUUAAUAAAUGGGUCGGCC
rnacentral:lncRNA from 1 species